UAUUUGGCUACAUGUUUUGAUUUCCUUUGUACGACUUGCAGUUGAUUCAAGGAACGUAGAGGACGACAGGAGCCAUACGACGUAAAACCGAGUCUUAAUACCAAGACAGACAGACCAAGUACGCUGGGAGAUUCUCGGAUGACGCUAACUCUCGGUUGUCUUUGACUGAAAACAUGUGCACCAGAGAAAAAAUGCCAAGCUUCUGUGUUGAUUUGGAUCCUGGCAAGCGAAAGCCAAAUGAACCAACGGUACCAUUGUCAUCCAAACAAAAGACAAUUCUUCCUCAUAUUUUGUGACCUCACUGGGAACGUGCUUGUCCAGGAAGGUGUCAAUAAGUUUGUCUAUAGUAGAACAAACACUUGCUGCCAGAUUGACCAGAGGAGCUGAGCACAUUCUUGCCAGGAACAGACAACAAUAGUACCUUUUUCAGAGGAGGGCAAAAAAAGUGAAAAAAAAAAUGAUCAUAUGAAUACCCAUUGUAUUAAAAUGAAUGUAAAUUAACCUUGUAAUCCCACACUAUGACACUAUGAAGUUAUGAAGCUGCAGAUAUUGUUGAUUGUGAUGACAAUGAACAAGAGGCAAAGAAAGAGGAAGGGAGAAUUUGAAGGAAGAGGAGGAUAAAAGGAAAAAAAAAAGACACUAGGAAUAAGGAUAUGGGUGAGAAUGGCAAAGGGUUUAGAAAUGAUGAUGAUGAAAAGAUGACUAAAUAAGAAAGAAUGAUGAGGAUGAAGAUGAGCUCAACAAUCUAUGAAGGAUAUGGAUAUAUAGAUGAGGGAUUAAUGGUACUUUGCAAAACAGUUCUUCAACUGGGGAUAAGGAUAUGGGUGAGAAUGGCAAAGGGUUUAGAAAUGAUGAUGAUGAAAAGAUGACUAAAUAAGAAAGAAGGAUGAGGAUGAAGAUGAGCUCAACAAUCUAUGAAGGAUAUGGAUAUAGAUGGGGGUUUAUGACAGCAUA